AGGACAGAGUUUAUUCAAAGAGGCAGAAUUUCAAUCACAGGGGCUGGAUUUCUCAACUGUAUUUUGGAAACUUUUGCUAGUGCAUUCUUAAGACAAGGAGCCCAGAAGGGAAUUAGAAUAAUGGAGACGCUGCUAAAGGAACAGUGUGGUGCUCCCUUCGUGGAAUAAAAAUCACCAGGAAGCUGCUGCUGUGUUUACUCUUUUUUUUUUUUUUUUUCCAAUCACUUCUUGGCCGCGGCUUCAUAGGCAAAAUCACUGGAUGCCGUUUCAGGACACAGACUCAGUGGCUUAGAGAAGAGGAGACCUUCCUGCCUGAGCAUGGACUGACACUCCACUUUGGAGCCUGCUUUAAAUCAGGGGACUCAUGGAGAUGAGACCUUUUCGGCUGGAAUUUUAUGGCAUGGUCUCUUUGUGAUCUUGUGAAUAAAGGGAAGGAACAUAUCAGAUGAUA